AGGAUGAACGCUGGCGGUAUGCUUAACACAUGCAAGUCGAACGGGAGACUUCGGUUUCUAGUGGCGGACGGGUGAGUAACGCGUGAGAAUCUGCCUUUAGGACGGGGACAACAGUUGGAAACGGCUGCUAAAAACCCGAUGUGCCCUUCGGGGUGAAAUAUUUAUAGCCUGAAGAUGAGCUCGCGUCUGAUUAGCUAGUAGGUGAGGUAAAGGCUCACCUAGGCGACGAUCAGUAACUGGUCUGAGAGGAUGACCAGUCACACUGGGACUGAGACACGGCCCAGACUCCUACGGGAGGCAGCAGUGGGAAUUUUCCGCAAUGGGCGCAAGCCUGACGGAGCAAUACCGCGUGGAGGGAGGAAGGCUCUUGGGUCGUAAACCUCUUUAUCAGGGAAGAACACAAUGACGGUACCUGAUGAAUCAGCAUCGGACUAACUCCGUGCCAGCAGCCGC
rnacentral:rRNA from 1 species